rnacentral:sRNA from 1 species
CCUGGACGCGGCGCUGACCGGGGAGCUGGAGGUGGUGCAGCAGGCGGUGAAGGAGGUGAGCGCUGCUGAGCGGGAGGUGGGCGCGGCGGGGGCAUCGCAGAUGCCAGCCGCGGGACUGAGUCUUCCCCCUCCCCCGGUGCACUCAGAUGAACGACCCGAGCCAGCCCAACGAGGAGGGCAUCACUGCCUUGCACAACGCCAUCUGCGGCGCCAACUACUCCAUCGUGGAUUUCCUCAUCACCGCGGGUGCCAAUGUCAACUCCCCCGACAGCCACGGCUGGACACCCUUGCACUGCGCGGCGUCGUGCAACGACACAGUCAUCUGCAUGGCGCUGGUGCAGCACGGCGCUGCAAUCUUCGCCACCACGCUCAGCGACGGCGCCACCGCCUUCGAGAAGUGCGACCCUUACCGCGAGGGUUAUGCUGACUGCGCCACCUACCUGGCAGACGUCGAGCAGAGUAUGGGGCUGAUGAACAGCGGGGCAGUGUACGCUCUCUGGGACUACAGCGCCGAGUUCGGGGACGAGCUGUCCUUCCGCGAGGGCGAGUCGGUCACCGUGCUGCGGAGGGACGGGCCGGAGGAGACCGACUGGUGGUGGGCCGCGCUGCA